rnacentral:tRNA from 2 species
GCGGAUAUAGUUGAGUGGUAAAAUAUCUCUUUGCCAAGGAGAUGACGCGGGUUCGAUUCCCGCUAUCCGCC